UAUAAUUGUCACCAGAUUUUUAUUAUUAAUGUAAAAAAAGGUUGGUUUUGUUUUUAGGGUUUGUUUUGUUUUUUUGGAACUAUCAGUAGAUGGACACUGGCAGCUUUGUGAGGGACAGAGAUAUGCUCUCGACGUCUGGCACCGUGCUGUUGGGAAAUAGGCCUUUUAUUUUUGUCUGAUAAUUGGGGCUCAGUUUUUAUUUUUAUUUUACAGACAACUGUUACAAUAUUGUAUUCCUUGGCAUUCAUUGUUCAGCAUAGAUACUGUGUACAGUAUUUCUGUGCACAUAAUCCUAUUUAAUUUUUGCAUAAAAUAAAUGCUUUUAGAUGUCUUAUGUAAGUCUUAUCUUUUUAUCAUGCUUUGCUUUCUUAGGAAUUUUUAUGUGAAAGGGCUAAAGUCACAGAAGGACAUGACUACAGCCAACUCUCCCUUAUCUAUGUAAAAUAGUGACUGUGCCUCAGGUGCUCGGUUUGUAGGACUAUGGACAUGUGCAAGAAUGAGGAGACGUUUGAAAUUAAUUUUCUCUUAUCCUCCUCAGGUGUUUUGCCUGUCUCCACUGUUUCUGCUUGGCUUGUACCCAAAAUCCUAGUGGGACGAGCUGCUCUGUUUGCAUUAUGACUUGGUCUUGCUGGGAUGUGUAAAAUCACUGAAGUAUCAAAACUCUCCAGAAUGAAAUUCUUUGAUAGUAUGUCAAUUAGGUUCUCAUAGAUAAGUGAGAGUUGGCUAUAAAUUGAUUCUGGGUGAAAGGUGGGCUUCUUUUAAGUAUUUUACAUGUACAUGUUUAGGUGUCAGAAGAUGGCUAGAGAACAGUGAAUACCAAUGAUAGAAACAAUAUUUCUUGAAAGGGCGUAAAAGCCCUGCUCUUCCUGUUGCCUCCAAUCUGCUGACAGAGCAUCUAUGCAUACCGUCAGUCAGGUCCCUCAUUCAGUCAGUGCUAUAUUCUAUUUACAAGUUUGACUUAGGGCCACCAGUUUGUCACUACCAAAACUUCUUUGCUGGAACCCAGUGAACUCUAUGUUGAGCAGUUAGUCACACAGUGUAAGGAAGAAGGUUCCUAAAUGUUAAGGGCACUGGUCAGAAUACAGCAGAAGCGUUCACAUCUGUUACAGCUCUUUGGAGUUUUGCAUUGAAACAGUUACUGUCAGGGUCUGUUCCUCAUGAGUGCCUGGUCUCUGGCACCAAGAGUAAACUGGUUGGGGAUUAAGCAAAUUGAGAGGGACUUGUUUACUGGAAAUGUGUCAGGUUUUCUUUGAAAAAGAAAAUGUUAAAAUCUCUUAGGAAUUUGGUAUUUACAUCUCAGAGAAAUACAACACAAAAGUGCAGACUUAAAAUUGAGAAUUAAUGUUAACCCUUUGUGUCUAGUUUGAAGCUUCUUGUAUUUGUCUAAAACUACAAGCCAGAAUUUUGUAUCUCCUUUGAUAAAAAGUGUGUAUACUGUAAAGUAGUUUUGCAUAUUCUUGUGCUGCACAUGGGCUGGAUUUUUAGAAUUUUUUUAAAGACUUUAAGCCGAACCUUGUAAUUUGUGUAAAUGACAAGUGUAAAAUCCUUCCAUAAAAUGCUUAAAAUAUGCACUGUUUCAAAUAAAACCAAGAAAUGCAGCAUUAUGUAGAAGUGUGGAAACGUGAAUAUUCAUGUGCCCAUGUGAAGGGCUGAUGAAGGGACCAUCGUGCACUUUCCAUUUUUCAAGCCUCUGAUGUAGCUCACAGUGACAGUACAGGGGGAUCAAUUCUGAUGGAUCUUUGCCAAAGUUUCUUAAAGAUGAUCAUUGUUUCCUACUAUUCUCUGUGUCACAAAUGGUGGACAUUAUAUACUAGGUUUUUUGUUUUUGUUUUUUUUGAGACAGGGUUUCCCUGCCUCCCGAGUGCUGAGAUUAAAGGUGUGCACCACCACCGCCUGACCAUUAUAUACUAGUUUAAUAACUUUAAUCGGAGUGAACCGAUGUCUAAGAUUCGGAUAGAAUAAGAGGUUAAGAGAGGCCAUCAGCCUAUCUAUGUCUGAUGCCUCCCAUAGUUGGCCUCUUGAUAGUCUAUAACGUGGCUAAAAAAGACUAAAGGCAAAGAAUAUUGGGGAGGGGGGCUUAUUUGUACUGUUUUUUUUUUUUUCAUUAGUCUCCAGACUGCACUAUAUAUUAGCCCUUUGUUUUAAUAAAAACUCUAUGAUCAGCGUUCCCAGAAUGAAGUAUAAGGCAGAACAGGUCUCAGUCUUAUGUGGUCACUGCACUCUUUCAUAUGGGCCUAGAACAUUUACAAAGGUAGGAUAUCUCAAAGGUAGGUUGAGCAUAGGCCUCAACCAAUGUCCAUAGUGAGGGACCAGUGUAUUGAUCAGACUUCUCUGUCUACAUUCCAACAAGUCUCUUACCAGCUCUGACAACUGAACUUGCUGAGGUAAUGUAGCCCUCAGGCUGCCAAGCCUUCUGUCACUCAUUCUCUGACACUGUUCCUUUCCUGGUUGUUGUUUUAUUAAGAUUUGCUUGAAUUUAUGCCUGUUUUGAUUGCAUGUGUACCACAUGUAUGCCUAGUGCCCUUGGAGGUUAGAAAAGAGUGUUGAAUACCCUGGAAGUAUAGUUGUAAGCCCCCAUGUGGGGGCCAGGAAUUGACCCCUGGUCCUCUGCAAAAAAUAAGUGCUCUUAAUCUUUAAACUCUCCAACACCCCCAGCCCAUGUAGUUAAAGAGUUAUUUAAUGCAGGGUCUUAUGCAUAAGAUGUCCUUGAAGGCACUGUGUAGUUAAGGGUGAACUUGAAGACCUAGUCCUCCUGCCUCUACCCCUAAAGAGUUGGAACUGCUAGCCCCACAAGCCUUUACCUUAUACUUACACUGGAAAAAGCCAGAGCUUCGAGAUUAACAACCAACCUAUGUGUACACAGGCACACACUCAUGAGAAUAACAACCUAUGUGCACACAGGAGCACACUCUGUGUGAGAAUAAACACCUGUUUGCUUGUCUUCUGUCUGGCUGCAAAUUCUAGCACAGGCAGAAUGUCUAAUUUCUCAGGUUGCUGGCCCAAGGUGAUGAUCAGGAUUUCAGGUGGGGGUACUCUUCCCUUAUCAACACUUGUUGCCUUUCUCCCCUUGGAACCCUUUUGCUCCUGACAUUACCUAGCAAAGACUUUAUUAUACCAAACAAAGUCAUUCUCUGUAAACAGCACUGUAUUUAUUCCUUGUUUGAAAGUGGUCUAUGCAGGAAGUUAAAGGCCACUCAGUUCUCUCCUAUUACAAAAAGGGGAGAAAGGUAGCUAGCUGAGAGCUGAUAGGAAUGUAAAGUCUUUUACAGCAUCAUAAGAAUAUAUAGCUUACUCUCAAUUUCUUUAAAAGCUAUUUUGUCUUAAUAUGAUUGCUGUAUGGAAGAUAAGCAGUAGAAGCUAAAUAAUACAGAUGGGCAUGAGUGUGUGAGAUCCUAUAUUAAGUGCAAGAAUCACACUUAAUAUAGGAUCUCAUGAUGAUGAUAAACCAGCCAUAUACUACGAGCGACCUCAGAUCCUCCUGCCCCCACACCCCAAUACCUGGGAUUAUGGGUAUAUGCAGCAACUUGAGAGCUUGUCAUGAUGAUGGAUACCGUGGCUCCUGAGGGCCAUGUUUUCGGUAAUGAAUAAUGAAACCUUUCUAAAAUUGAUUUGUGGUCGAUGUGGAAAUCUUUGCAUUAAAUCAUGGAAUUAUACACUU
rnacentral:lncRNA from 1 species